AGUAAGGGCGACUGAACUGUCAAGAGCUCAGCAUGUGAAUCAGCGCUCGCCCCUUUGUGAGCGCUGAAUUGUGGUCUUACGACUUUUGCGCUCAUUGCGGUCCGACCAUGUUUUUUGGAAUAAAACAGCAUAGAGGGUGAAACUCCCGUGCGUUGGACCUGGCGAAGCAAAUUGUCACUGAGUCGAGUUGUUUGGGAUUGCAGCUCMAAUUGUACGGUGGUAAAUUCCAUCUCAAGCUAAAUACACACAAGAGACCAAUAGCGAACAAGUACCGUGAGGGAAAGAUGAAAAGAACUUUGAAAAGAGAGUGAAAGAGUACCUGAAAUUGCUGAAAAGGAAGCGAACGAAGCUAGUGACAGCUGCGUCAUACUUUCCAACUUGCUUGCAAUUUGGACGCUGUGGCCAGCCCUGUUGGGCUUGAUUGCGACAGGUGAAAACAGGCAAUGAAAAGAUUCCAUUUUCGCUCG
rnacentral:rRNA from 1 species